rnacentral:rRNA from 1 species
CCUACGGGAGGCAGCAGUGAGGAAUAUUGGUCAAUGGACGAGAGUCUGAACCAGCCAAGUAGCGUGAAGGAUGACUGCCCUAUGGGUUGUAAACUUCUUUUAUAAAGGAAUAAAACGAGGCACGUGUGCCUUUUUGCAUGUACUUUAUGAAUAAGGAUCGGCUAACUCCGUGCCAGCAGCCGCGGUAAUACGGAGGAUCCGAGCUUUAUCCGGAUUUAUUGGGUUUAAGGGGAGCGUAGAUGGGUUGUUAAGUCAGUUGUGAAAGUUUGCGGCUCAACCGGAAAAUUGCAAUUGAUACUGGCAGUCUUGAGUACAGUUGAGGUAGGCGGAAUGCGUGGUGUAGCGGUGAAAUGCUUAGAUAUCACGAAGAACCCCGAUUGCGAAGGCAGCUUACGAAACUGUGACUGACAUUGAUGCUCGAAAGUGUGGGUAUCAAACAGGAUUAGAUACCCGAGUAGUC